GCGGAUGUGGUGAAAUUGGUAGACACGCUAGACUUAGGAUCUAGUGCCGUGAGGUGUGCGGGUUCGAGUCCCUCCAUCCGCA
rnacentral:tRNA from 1 species